rnacentral:rRNA from 1 species
UACGGAGGGUGCGAGCGUUGUCCGGAAUCAUUGGGCGUAAAGGGCGCGUAGGUGGCCCGGUCAGUUCGUGGUGAAAGCGCGGGGCUCAACCCUGCGUCGGCCAUGAAUACUGCCGCGGCUGGAGCACUGUAGAGGCAGGCGGAAUUCCGGGUGUAGCGGUGGAAUGCGUAGAGAUCCGGAAGAACACCGGUGGCGAAGGCGGCCUGCUGGGCAGUUGCUGACACUGAGGCGCGACAGCAUGGGGAGCGAACGGG